rnacentral:rRNA from 1 species
GCCAGCAGUUUUAUCACUCUGCAACUCACAACUGGCAACCCACUGAAGCUAAGCAGGUGUGAGCCUGGUCAGUACCUGGAUGGGAGACCUCCUGGAAAUACCUAAGGUUGCUGCUGGAA